ensembl:lncRNA
CGUUUUGAUAGUCUCACUCAUGGCCGAUCAGUGUGUUCUUUCUGAUUAGCUCUUAAUUGAGAUCACCUGUCACGCUCCCCUUUAUUAAAGGUGAACACAAUGGGUUUGGUUUACUUUUCGCAUCGGCCUGUGUCAAUCAAGGUUGAGUUUAGUGAGGGUUGAAAGUUUUCGAUUUAGAUUGCAGAUCACUAUUGUCACUUUAUACAAACUGAAAGUAUGCGUUGUUGCGUGUUUGUUUUUGUGGGCAUUUGACUGAACAGCCCAGACAAAUAUUGCUACCAACAUGGCACUUUGAAACAGACCACCGCAGUGUUAGAUGACUGACAAGAUCUAUGGGGGCCCCUUUGGGCCCCCCAUACCAACUUAGUCUUCAAAGGAAUCUAGUGCCAUGGGACUCCAGUGUCUUCAAAACAUCCUUGGAAUACAUGUGUAUGAAUGGUCCACCGAAGUGGCUUCCAGAGCCAUCUUUCGGUCUUGGUCAGGAUUUGUUACAGUUGCACUUCAAUGUAGCAGGCUACGGGUUUCUGAAGAAGCCUGCUUUACGUAGCAUUGGAGUACAAAUAUUGUGCAAAAUGCUCAUGUAAUUGCACUAGCACUGGUAACCUGUAGAUUAGCUUAGUUUAACGUCAUUCGGUGCCGUCUGUCAAAUGUGUUGCUUACUUUAAGUCCACAAGGGCCUCUGGUAAACCACGUUGGAACACCCCUGGACAAGGUGAUUAGUCACUGGGUGUGUGCUAAAGUUUUGUUCCAUUUUUCACUAGUUGGUUAAGGUUUGGUAGAAUUGUUUGGAUGCUAGCGACGUGAUGGCGUAUGUACAUGAGCCUACCGGGACCAGGCCACAGUUGCGACGGCCACGGCCAGAUGGCCUAGUGUGAGUGCAACCUUGAUUGCAUUUGUAUACUGUUUACCAUUGGAUGUUUAUGCAAUUUGGCUUAAUUCAUCCGCUGUAAAGCUGCAUUUGACUAUUCCAGGGUCGUUUUGUACAGGCUUUCAAUUGACCAUGUUGACUAGUUUGUGGGAAGUUUUUUUUUAUUUUUUUUUACCAUUGCUUGCAAUCCAACGGUUGCGACCACUUGUGCAACUGGGCUGUGAACCUUGCAAUUCUAGUUGUAUAUUUUCUAUCGCCAUCACUAACACUAGCUUCAGCAUUUCCUUGUAGGCCAUUAGCUGACUUGUGUAUUGGAGCGAUGAUUUGGGUAUUUUAAUAUGCUUGAAAGCAAAAUGCGUGUCUGGUGUGCAAGAGCCAAUUUGUUGGCUUGCAGUAGUCGAGGAGCUGCCGUAGGUCGUAAGCCAUCUGGAGGUUGUGGCAAUGGAGGCUUGUGGUAGAUCUGCCAUCCAAGAAAGGUUAAUUCUUCUGAAGCAUGAUUAAUAGUUUAGUAAAUUGAAUCUAUUCGUAUAGAACUAUAAAAUCCAAGACUGCAGCCAGUAACUUGGAUCGCAAUAUGUGGAAAGUAUUGGUCUUCAUUUGUAACAGAAUAAUUAACAUGACUAACUGGGUUUCUUCCAUUUUCUAACUAGGGGGACUUGACUGGUGAGUCUACUGGAUUAAUCAGUAGCGGUACUUUGUCCAACAGAUUUGAUGGCAUGACUACAGGGUGACAAAGACAAUUAUUCCCUGCCUAUCAAAAGAGACUUCUAAAACAUAUCUGCUAGAACAGUUCCUAUACUUUUUGUAUAAUUUGGUCAUGCUGCAAAUGUACUUUUUGUAGUUGCUCCAUAUUUAGUUCUUUGACAGCCUCACCUGCUAGAAAAGUCUAUUCAAAUCGGCUAAAUAUAAUGAACUAAAUUAAUAGCCAUGAAAAGUUGUCACUCAUACUAAUGGCAAAUACCCCCUUUCAGUUGGUGGUUCAACACUGAUGUCUCUCUGAGCUUGAGGGAGAGCUCACAAGUAAAUUAGACGAAUGUCCUGGAGCAAUUGGGAAUACACUUUUAUUUAGUCUACCUGACCAGGGACAUCUUUGAACUAUAGGUCACCUAACCCAAACUUUUCACUCUUAGGUUGUCCUUUUCUCUUGUUUUAACCCGAAAGGGCUGAAAAUAUCAACAUUUCAGGUAUUCUGUUUGGAUAAUGUGCAAAACUUGUGGCUUCACUAAUAAAAAAAAUUAACAAAUGUAUUUUUCUUAAUGUGGUUAAACUAUUUAAAGAUUUGUAUGCAAAAUAUUUCUGCUCAAUUUGUGGUCAAUGAAACUCAAUUUUUUUAAUUUGAUAAAACACAACUAUGGGUUAAAGGUAUUUGCUUUGGGCAUCUUUUGAUAUUUUUAGAAACUAGCUCCAUUGCCGUUAGAAAUGGUGUCUCCCUGUACUGCAAAGUGCUUCCACAAGUUUAAAAAAAAAUGGGCAGAAAAGGAACUGCCAACUAAAUCUAUUUAACAUGGGUAGAAAGUUUCCAUGGAAGCUCUUGGCUGCUGGUUCCCAACACGGCUCCACUGUUAGCCUGUGACCUUGCGUUUAACUUUUUUGGACUUUUGGUGACUUUCACAAAAGAGAAAUUAACUGGUUAAUACAAUAAACAAGACAUUUGAAACUUCAGCUGUAUUUUUAUCUAUUUGUACUACCUUUGAUUUCAACCCGUGACAUGUUUGUCAGGUGAUAACUAUGUACCUGUGACCGCAUAUCAUGGAACCAUUUUGAACUGUUUGUGGAUAUUGCAUUAAAUCCAUAUGCUUGAAACUUUUCAAUAAUGCAUAUCAACGAAACAAUGGAAUGAAAUAAAUAGUUCAAGCAAUUUGUGGGACUCGGCUGCUUUUACAUUAUUACUCAUUUUGGGAGUUAUUUCAGUCUCUCCAACCUGCAGGUCGUGCGAAGAAU